AUGUCAGCAUACACAAAAAAGGAAAUUUGUCUCAUCUCACCUUAUGAAAAAAAUAUGAGUCUAAACACAAAAAAUGUAGCAUUUUUUUUUAAUUUCACAGAAGAGUUGGGACAGUUUUUAACACUCUUGAAGGUCAUCAUGGUACCUCAAGGUCAGCGGUAUAGAGGAGUUACCCAAAGCAAAACACCACCCAUGCUGAUUAAUAAUGGAGAGAUGGGUUCAUUGCAGCUGCUUCUGCUCACUGAAGUCUAGCAAUCUUCUACUUGCAGGAAUUGUUGCCUACUGAAUUCAGUGCCAGGGAUUUAUGGUAUCACAUCACAGACAUAAUAAAUAACAGAAUUUCUACUAAUUAGACCAAGGACACAACUCAUCUGAGUUUUGACACAAAAUUUCAUAGCAUGCCUGAGUUAUGGUUAUGAGUUAUGAGGGCAUGGUUGAUACCACACUGAUAAGGAAGAGAAACCAACAGACUAUCCAGAGAUGGUCUGUUUUGGCAAUUUCUAUGUGUAAGAUAACACUAUAAUAUAGGUAUCCUGCUAUCUUUGAUUUAGAGAAACUAUGGAGACACUCCCAAUUACAGUGGAGACCAAACCACCACAGCAGCAUCAGCAAUCACACACACUUGGACUUAACCUAUCUUUGCAUGACCAACCAUUUGGUUUAAUAGCAGAAUUUCAGGUAAGCAGAACUAUUCUGACCAGCUCAUUCAGAAAACACUAAUGAAAGCAAAAUAUCUCCUCUUUUUCAUGAAAAGAAGUACUAUGGAAAAAAUUCUGUGAUCUUCAAAUAAUUUCCCAUAAGGACUGAUAUCUGCAGAAAGUAAAUUGCUUGAUUAGUUUCUGGUUUGAAGAAGCAGCCACUGGGUCAUGCUGUCACUGUAGCAGAAAUGCUGUGCCUGAGAGCAUCAGUGUUUGUGCAAAACACAAAACUGAAGACAGCAAAGUUAGGCAAAAUUCUGCUUUCACUUAUAUGAAGGUACUAACAGCUAAAAGUAAAAAAGAAAAAACCAACACUGACAUGAGGAGAUUUCAGUGCUUGCUUUCUUAGAAUCCCUGAGUCAUACAGAAAGUAAGAUAGAACUCAUGUCUUUACAUCUGCCUUUCUGCACUGUGCUGCUUAGGCUCUCAAAUUUGCUUCAGUAAUUGCUGUUUCCUUCUCUUACCUGCAUUUGCUGACUCAGCAAAAUAUGCACUUUGAGUCCCAGCACUUUUUGAAAUCUUUCAGUCUUCUUUCUUAAUAAGUCUGUCAGUUGAUGCUUUGCGUUCGUCAUCAAGCCAAACACUGCUUCUUCAGCCUGCAACUAUUUGGAGGUGACCAUUCUUGCAUGCCUU
rnacentral:lncRNA from 1 species